rnacentral:lncRNA from 10 species
UUUUAAUUUCAAUUUCAAAUUUGUUAAAUAUGGAAAAACACUAACUUUUUUUUUUUUUUUUUUGACAAAGUCUCGCUCUGUCUCCAGGCUAGAGUGCAAUGGUGUGAUCUCGGCUCACUGCAAACUCCGCCUCCCAGGUUCAAGCCAUUCUCCUGCCUCAGACUCCCAAGUAGCUGGGACUACAGGCAUGCACCACCAUGCCCAGCUAAUUUUUGUAUUUUUAGUAGAUACGGGGUUUUCCCAUGUUGGCCAGGAUGGUCUCGAUCUCCCAAAGUGCCGGAAUUACAGACUACCAAUCAUGCUGUGGACACUUAAAUAAGAAUCUUCGCUCAACUGGCCAAACAGAAAAAAAAACAUGGGCUUUAGAAUUAUGUAUCACCUUGCCAACAUUACAGUGAAGCUCACAUGAGAUCCUGAAACUGCCCUCAGUGAAGAAACUAAAGCUCAUCAGAUUACCGUGUCCAGAAAGUGAGACACCAGCUCCCCCUAUCCAUCAUGACUGCUUCCUUACCACUCCCUAAUUCCUGUUUUUCCACCUUUCCUGCCAUAUAAACCCCACCAUUUUAGUUGGGUAGAAGAUGGAUUUGCUACUUUAUCUCCUGUUAUCUUUGGCUGCAGCACCAGAUUAAAGCCUUCUUCCCUGACAAUACUCCUUGUCUCAGUGAUUGGCAUUCAUGCCACAAGCAGCAGGACCUAUACUGAACCCCUGGAGUUUUGGUGACAUUAUGAUUACCAGGAUAAGAGACAGCAGCUACUAAUGAAACAUAAAUCAGUGUGGCCGAGGAUGUCAUGCAAAGAAAUGGUCCUUUGCUCAAUCCAGGUGAAAGGUAAGCUUCUAGAAACUUAACUUAACUGCCCAAAGGGAGAAUGGAGGAAGGAGACAGAAAGAAUAUUUGAUUGGUUGAGUUUAAAAAUCUCAAUAAACUAAUUUAAUAGUAGGAGUGAUUUCAUAAACCUGAAUUAAAACUUGAAAAUUUUCAGCUUCUCAUUGAAAUGAGAAUGUCAAGAAAACCUUCGCCUACAUAUAGAUAAAGUUAUAUCUCUUUUUGUACUCAGGCCUGUGUAUUACUAAGACUACACUAUUUAAAUUGACUACUAUACUUUGUGUAUAGUUUGGACUUGAAAGGAAUUUGAUGAGGUUUUGAGAAUAAUAGCAA